rnacentral:siRNA from 1 species
UUUGGAGACGCACUAUCUACAUAC